GACGAACGCUGGCGGCGUGCUUAACACAUGCAAGUCGAACGGCAAGGCCCUUCGGGGUACACGAGUGGCGAACGGGUGAGUAACACGUGGGUGAUCUGCCCUGCACUUCGGGAUAAGCCUGGGAAACUGGGUCUAAUACCGGAUAGGACCACUGCCUGCAUGGGUGGUGGUGGAAAGCUUUUGCGGUGUGGGAUGGGCCCGCGGCCUAUCAGCUUGUUGGUGGGGUGAUGGCCUACCAAGGCGACGACGGGUAGCCGGCCUGAGAGGGUGACCGGCCACACUGGGACUGAGAUACGGCCCAGACUCCUACGGGAGGCAGCAGUGGGGAAUAUUGCACAAUGGGCGCAAGCCUGAUGCAGCGACGCCGCGUGAGGGAUGAUGGCCUUCGGGUUGUAAACCUCUUUCAGCACCGACGAAGCGCAAGUGACGGUAGGUGCAGAAGAAGGACCGGCCAACUACGUGCCAGCCGCCGCAGUAA
rnacentral:rRNA from 1 species